GUAGGUGAACCUGCGGAAGGAUCAUUAUUGAAUAAGCUUGGUUGGGUUGUUGCUGGCUCUUAGGGGCAUGUGCACGCCUAACACCAAUCUUCUUACCACCUGUGCACCUUUUGUAGACUUGGAUAUCUCUCGAGGAAACUCGGUAUGAGGACUGCCGUGCGUCAAAGCCGGCUUUCCUUACAUUUCCGGUCUAUGUCUUCAUAUACACCAUUUGCAUGUCUACGAAUGUUAUUAUCGGACUUGACUGUCCAAUAAACCUUAUACAACUUUCAACAACGGAUCUCUUGGCUCUC
rnacentral:misc_RNA from 1 species